GAAAAAAGGCAGAGGUAGCGCAAGCUUGAGAAAUACUCUUAGAACCUGAUCUAGUUAAUACUAGCGUAGGAAGUCCUUAAUAAAGACAA
rnacentral:ncRNA from 2 species